GCGGGUUGGAAGCUGCAGCUCCGAGCCGGGGAUCGGCCCCAAAGUCUUCUCAGCUCUGUCGCCCGGACCAGCUCAGUUGUGUGGGUGCUGCUCCCCGGGCUGAGAGCUUCCGGCCGUAAAGCCCAGCUUGUUCUGGUGAAGUCUGCAAAAGGGAGCGUCAGUGCUGAGGGAGCUUCCGUCACCUCCCUCAGUGUUUCUGCCCCAGGGGCUGCAACAUGAGCAUCCCUGACUACGUGCAGUGCGCUGAGAACGAC